GGGCGGGUAGCACAGUGGUUAGAGCUUGGGUCUCGUAAGCGGAAGGUCCCGGGAUCAAAUUCCGCUAAAGACA
rnacentral:tRNA from 1 species